rnacentral:rRNA from 1 species
UACGGAGGGGACGAGCGUUGUCCGAAGUUACUGGGCGUAAAGCGCGCGUAGGUGGACCCUUAAGUCCGCUGUGAAAGCCCGGGGCUCAACCCCGGAGUGUCGGUGGAGACUGGGGGCCUUGAAGGUGCUAGGGAGAGAUGGAAUUACCGGUGUAGCGGUGAAAUGCGUAGAGAUCGGCAGGAACACCCAGGGGGAAACCAGUGGACUGGCACGGUGCUGACGCUCAGGUGCGAAAGCGUGGGGAGCGAACCGG